AUACGGAGGGAGCAAGCGUUAUUCGGAAUCACUGGGCGUAAAGGACGCGUAGGCGGGUUUGUAAGUCAGGUGUGAAAUCCUACAGCUCAACUGUAGAACUGCACUUGAAACUACAGAACUAGAGUAUGGAAGGGGCAGAUGGAAUUAGUGGUGUAGGGGUAAAAUCCGUAGAUAUCACUAGGAAUACCGAAAGCGAAGGCGAUCUGCUGGGACAUUACUGACGCUGAGGCGUGAAAGCGUGGGGAGCAAACAGGAUUAGAAACCCCAGUAGUCC
rnacentral:rRNA from 1 species